UUGGAGAUGGGAGGAAAACCCCAGAGGAAUAUUCUGGGUAAAACCCACGGAAUCAGGUAGGGACUGAUAUGAAACAAUUUAGUCUUUAAGUCAUUAAAUUAAGCGUUUCCCAUGUCGACGUCGCAUAGGUACUUUAUGUCUUUAUUUUUUACAAGGGUUAAAUUGUGCCAGAGAAGCUAGUUUCUUAAAUAAUUUAAAUAAUUUAUUCACUUAGAAAGCGCAGAAUUUCAUGCAAAUCUGUUCAAAUGCGCUGUACAAUGAAGACAUUAAACUUGGUCGAGCGAAUGGAAUGCAAGGGCGCCUCAAGCAGCCGCCAAACGACACACUUUCACAGGAGACAAUGAGAAGCAGUCAUAGUUCUAGAUAUGGGAGGAAAACCCUCGAGAAGAAAUUGCUGGGUAAAACGGAAUCAGGUGGGGAUUGAAAACCCAAUCCACGUGUGGACCCAGCUGGGAAUCGAGCGAGGAAAGAACUUUGCCAACCCGACUACCCGUUCAUAUCCCAUUGCAAUGAAAUCGACUAAAAGUCGCCCAUAACAUUUCCAAUCCUGUUUAUUUUCUCAGCUCAAAUUUGACGACGUUGUUCGCAGUAUGUCAGGUUUUAAUUUUUCCCCUGAAUCCGUGAAAAUGUGCUGUAGGAAAAAAGAUGGACUUUUAUAUCAUUCAGAAAUUUGCUCGCAAUUGUCUCCGGAUUUACGCCCUCACGGGUUGAACACGAAUGAAUGCAGCGAGGUUGUGUAUGAUAACACGCCUGAAACGAAAUGUGAAGUAGUAAAUGUCUAAAAUGAUCAAGCUUGGCAUAAAUUAGCUGUCAUAGUAAAUGAUGGAACUCCUUUAGUAGAAAUCUUUCGUUAAAUCCCUGAGAGAGAAUUUGUUUCACAUCAACGGCCUGGAAAUUUCAUUAAAAUAUCCUGUGGAAGGACUUUCAAUCGAUAUUGUUUGAGGCCCGACUUGUGGGGGAUAGCAGACGCACAGGUAGCCAUCUCGUCAUCAUUUGAUACCAAGGUUAGGGAGGAAAUGAUCGGCUAAGUGCUGCUUACGGGUUUCAUAUCUAUCACAGAUGUUGCUCUUAGCUAAUUACAUUGCAAAUCGAUGACAUUCCUAUGGAGAUUUAAUUUCCUAAUGCCCGCGUUGAGGCUUGAAUAUUGUCAGGCCACCUCGUUUUUUUACGCUCUUCAUGCCCAUUAAAGCUAUUACUAAUCCAUCCCGUUCGCCCCUCAGGACUUGAGAACUCGCAGAGUAUUUUCCCUUGACAGAGCACGCGUAUAAUGAAAAGACACAUAUUUUCAGGCUAGCUUUCCGUAUAGGUCAAAGCAUUUUCAAAGAUCAGUGUUACAAUAUCGGCCAGUCAGCUUCUGUAUCAAAUCUAACACAGAAAUUACGCUUUUCGCCAAAAAGUACUGUACCAAUGCAAACUACAUUUUGUGCUAGACAUCGUUACAUGAUUAAACAAUAUACAGCUGUUGAGAGAAUAAAUCUGAAGAUAUGCCUCUAGAAAAGCAAUUAAAACGAGCCUGAAACUCAAAGUAAUCAAAUCCAUAUUCAAGAUUGGCACACAUUUAAUUUUAUUUUUGUGUGUAUCGAAAGCCGUUGCCCAAAGGCAUGUCUGAAAAUACAGGAAUUGAUUGACUAAAUUCCAACCUGUUAAAUGAUGCCAAGUGUAACCAUUGAAAUGGUUGAAAAAAAAUUGAAAAGCGAAGAAUUUUAAGUUUUUUCUUUCAUCAAUAAUGUAAACGUUUGCAUUUGAAGAUUAGAGUCGACUCUGAUAGAGUUCGAAUUAUUGUGGUACUGGUAUGCCGCUUUAUGGCACAUAAUGAAUGGGUAACGUCGUUUGAGACCGGCUCGGGAAUGGACGCCGAUAAUGUUCCUCACUUUCGGCUCAGGCACUUUCAGCUUCCAUUCUCCUGAACUUGUCUGAAAUACCGGCCAAGCACAUACUACGAUAGGCCGUGUCCAAAUCACUUGGCUACGGCUGGAAAUUACGCUCGAGUUUAUGGCAGUAUGUUAUGUAUAUAUGUAUUUCAAAUAUAUAUUUUCAAUUAAUUAUGAGUGCAGCUGUUGCGUUUGUUGAGAAAAAUAGGUGGUAUUUUGUUGAAUUUUCGAGAAAACACAAAAUUACGAUUACACAAACUUGCUUACGACAUAAUUGCAGGCAACGUAGCUGAAUCAGUGGGUGUGCUGAGGGGUUGGAACGGAUUUGGGGUUUGGGUUAUAAAGCUCACUUUUUCGCCACUGAGAACCACGGUAGGUCCACACCUGAUCAGUAUUCAAAGUAUAACUUACAAGGUGAAUUGUGAUUAUUAUAGAACUCGUCAGACGGCUGCAGUCAAAAAAAGAAAGUAAAUGUACAAACAAAGAGAACGAGCCAGAACUCAAAAGGUGCAUAAAGAUUUACUUUUUAAAAACUUUAAUUAGGUGGGUUCCUUGGUUGGGGAUUUUCUUUCAGCUUCACCAAUCACCAGUGGAGCUACGCUUGACUGUAGAACCAGUUAUCGUCAAUACAUGUACCAACACCCCCCUAAAAAAAGCUGUGUAAAUUAAUGCAAGAGGCAUCUUAUUGUUGGUGUUUGCUAAGAUUUAAAUUGCCGUUUCUGCACAGAUAAAAUGUGGACGUCGUAAGUCAUUUUCAAAUUAACAUCUUAACAAGGAGUCGUAUGCACACAGCAAAAUCAUUGUCGUUCAGCUUUGGAUAACCAUAGGGGAAAAAUGACAAAAUGGAACCGCCGACGAAACCCGAGUGGUAGAGUGGAGGCACACAACGGUCUUUGUGAACAGGAUUUUGAGGUAUACAAUCCUGAUUUUUGCCCUGUUCGUAUAGGUUGAUUUCACGCAUCAGAUACUGAAGAUGCAGCUUUUACUCCCAAAGUGUGACACAAACGAGACCGGUGCAUUUGGGCUUAAGGCACGUCUUGCCAUCUCUGAAAUGAGCUGCUGUAAAUUAGAGCUGAACGCCGUAGACGUGCCGUCCACGAUAUCACACGUGUUACCUGUUGACUCUUACCGCCUACAAUAAUCAUUUCUGGCUGGCUGAUAAAGUCGUCUUGGCCUAAUUCAAAAACAUAUCUGAUCUGCAUCGAUGUUGUCUAAUCAUGAAGCAUAGGCAAAGAAAAAUCGGAUAAAGUAUGCAAAGACAUCUACUGGAGUGAGACGCAGAGCGUGUCACGCGCUUCUCUACAUGUCCCAUUCAAUGUCGUAGAGAACUUGUUGCGUGCCGGAAGUGACGGGUGUACGCAUUUACCGUCUAAUGCGAUAAGAGGUAGUGCGAAGGCGGCAGUUGCGCCACUACUCAGUUUGCGCUCUGCCGCCCAUGCGUUGACUCCAGCUUGAACCUGAGACUGCUGGAGACAAUAAUUGCGACGUUUUCCCCAUAACGAGAUUUCGACGUUCUAGUGGGUGUAUCCAACGCUCUUUAAGAACUAUUUCAGCUUCCUUCGCACCACUGAGUAGACCACUGGACUUUUUAAAACCUUGUUGAGAAACGAUUCUCAUCUCAUUUAAGUCGGUAGUAUGAUAGAUCAAUCAUCAUAUUCAUUAGCAGUAUUCAUUUAAACUGCUUGCAGCUUUCUGACCAACCAGUCUGAGUUCACACUCUCGCUCACUUGCACCUGUUUCAAUUCGCACAGCAUACCGGUUGGCGUUUUUUUUCUAGUAUCAGCUUCAUAGAGAAGCGAAGAACUCACCAACGUCUUCUGUUAUUACUUUGACGAACGAUAUCACAAGCUUGAUUUUUGUUGGCGGAAAUGAUGGGAACAAGACCAACAGUCGCUUUGGUUUUUCUACUGUCGUUUUUACUUUUUUGGAGCAAAGACGUCGAUGCAGCUUCUUGCAGCGACUGCAAAACCAGGAUGUGUAACCUACACUGUCAGGCUCUUGCGGGUAAGAGAUCUGAGGUAUCAAGUCGAGACCAUCUAAAUGAACUUCACCAGAAUAAGCCAUCUCCGGGGAUUGAAUGGACGCGGAACCAGAGGUGCACACUUGAUGCUUGGUUUCAAGAAUUACCGCUCGAUUGGCAGAGACACAUUAUCGAGUUAUUUCAGCUAGCCUUAGCAUACACGGAGCCGUUGUAGAUUGAAGACGAGUGACCGUAUAUCUGCCGUAUACACUAUUGGAACUGAUUGCCUGCAUACGCAGUCAACUGCAACUUGCAUGGAGUCUACACUUCACCCUGGAUACUCAUUGUGUAGCAUUCUGCCACAGGAGGGCAGUAUUAAAAAUGACUAUGGCAUCUUGACUGACGCUUUACUGAGUGAUGACUUCCUCCAUAACCUACGAACUUAUUUAAUUAAUGCACUGUCCCUGUGCACCGCAACUGUUCCAGCAAAAGGCACGCUCUUGAGAUCCCACUGGGAUGUUAUAUUUUUCACAUGCAGUUAAUCUUGACAGGAACUUCGCGAUUGAAUUUAUCAGCAUGCGCUCAGUCCUCUACGAAACACACUGGGAUGAUUAUCAAUGUGAAGAACCCAUCUGAUUUUUCAGCGUUUUGGGAUCAAGGGGUGCAUUCUACUCACUCAUACGACGUCAGUAUUUCCGAAUGAUUUCCAUUGGAUUAUUGCAACUGUCCAGUGCCAGUUCCUUUGCAGGCUUAAGAGAUUUGUAUGUUGUAUUGAUUUGACAAAACAAGCUCUAUGUCUGCAAAAGGAUUACUGGGUUCAAGAAAAGUAUUCUACAGUAGUCUUGUAUAGUCUUGUAAAAGACCCAUUGAAGAAUGAAAAAUUACUUAAUUUAACGACCGAAAAUAGUUUCUUUUACACUGUAAAAAAUGGUCAGUGUUGGACAUUUGUUAUUUGCCCAACCUUGGUUAAAGUUACCACGUUUUGAUUAAUUUCCAUCAUUGUUGGUGAAACAUUGAUCAACGAUUGGGAAGAAUUUCCACAAGGUUGGGAAGUUGAUAUAUACACCAACAUUGGGUAAAAUAUCAACCAAAAAUUGGCCAACCUUUUCACAGAAAACAAACAUUUCUUGUAUGAAAAGACGACUCUUUUAAAUUACAUCGAUUACUUUACCACGAAUGAAUGAUCAAUUAUUUUCCCCUAAUCCCCUGAGUGCCCAAAGAUAUUUAUAGCACUUAGUUUACCUGAUACUCGAAGUAAGUCGGCAGUGCCACACACCUACCUUCGAUGCAUGGGUGUUGCAAAGUUUUUUCAGGGGGAAGGGGGUGAACCACUUUUAUUCCAGAGGAUUUCCAGCGGAAGCAAGAUCAUCAGCUAUGAAAUGAUAAAUAUUAACAGGGGGGGCUAACAUGUUUGAAGCACGUUGCUGAUUUGGUCCCCAUUUAUCUCCAUUUUUCAUUUCUGCUUUCCCCCAUUCUUUUCCUAUUCUAUUUUUCAUUUUUCCCCGGGAUUCGUGUUCAAUUGUGUCACGUGUAUAUUUAGUACCGAGUUGAAUUUAAGAGACACGGUCGUGAAUUGUGAUACAGCAGGUACUUUCUAAACCCUUCAAACCUAAACGACAGUUUCGGCAGUGCCAAAGUAGGCCUACGUCGGACCUUUCCUGUCUGAAACAUUGGAAAUUCAGUGACAUCAAAUUGCUCGUAAUUAAGUUCAACAAUUAGUUAUUGUUGUAGGUCGCUCCACUGCAGACUUGUUUGAUUUUUAGGGCGUAUAAUGAAGUCAUUUACGAUGUCGACUUUCCCGAGGCGAUGCACCCGUAAAAACAUGAAUUUAACAUGAAUUGAAGAAGAUUAACAUAUUUUCUCGGUAUGUAUGCGACACGCUACGUCAGUCGCCAUCGCUUACUUCCUGCUGUCAUAUGUUUCGAUUCACUAACGUCAGACAUUAGCCCAUAACCUGAGCAAUGAUGGCAAAUACAUAUUCAUCGUAGCAUGAUGAUUCUGUCAGAUGUACUCUGUACUCUGUCAUUAAAGUUCUCUCCGACAAACGAGCUAUAUUCCUGGGGUAUUCAUACGCCCUAAUCUUUGUUUAGAAGAUCAAACUUUGCAACUAUAACACGCCCAUGCUGCAAAACCGUUCCAAAUUGAUCAGAAUAUUUUUAUGCUAGAAUGGUUGACUAUACGACAUUUAUUGCAGUUGUUAUAUCAUAGUAUAAUUUUGUGUUACCUUCAAUUGCUAUUACCUUGACCAAAGCUCACCUAUGACAAAAACCACUAAUUAUACAAUGAGUGACUUUGAUACAAAGAACAGGAUAAUUUUCAGACACAGCUUAUAAUAAUCUGAGUAAUCAAAUUAUGCAAAUUUAUUAACGCAUUGAAACUUCAUUACUUCAUUACAAAUCGACUGUAUUGACAGUUUAGACUUUUAACCUUGUUACAUUAAUAUUCACAUUUUAUGCAGUGUCCAGAAAGUACUAGGAUGAUUAGGCCUAAACAAAUACACUUGCUCUUUUUUCCCUUGUUGAUUAUAAUACAAGUACGAAUGAUUAUUGUAUCAAUGUUGUAUGCAUAAUCUCAUUUUCCCGACUCUAACAGUUUGAUUGUGAUAUAUUAAGUCGUGUCAGAUUUGAACUAAACUGAUGUAACAGUAAUACAUUAAAUGUCAGGAUACGUGUCAUCGAUAUCAUA
rnacentral:lncRNA from 1 species